rnacentral:rRNA from 1 species
AAUGCUCAGUAACACGUAGUCAACUUAACCUAUGGAUGGGUAUAACCUCGGGAAACUGAGAAUAAUUCCCAAUAGAUCAUUUAUCCUGGAAUGGUUGAUGAUUGAAAUGAUUCGUCGCCAUAGGAUGGGACUGCGGCCUAUCAGCUUGUUGGUGAGGUAAAGGCCCACCAAGGCUAUUACAGGUACGGGCUCUGAGAGGAGAAGCCCGGAGAUGGGUACUGAGACACGGACCCAGGCCCUAUGGGGCGCAGCAGGCGAGAAAACUUUGCAAUGUGCGAAAGCACGACAAGGUUAAUCCGAGUGAUUUCUGCUAAAGAAAUCUUUUGCCAGUUCUAAAAAUACUGGUGAAUAAGGGGUGGGCAAGUUCUGGUGUCAGCCGCCGCGGUAAAACCAGCACCUCAAGUUGUCAGGAGGAUUAUUGGGCCUAAAGCAUCCGUAGCCGGCUCUGUUAGUUUUCGGUUAAAUCCAUAUGCUCAACAUAUGGGCUGUCGGAAAUACUGCAGAGCUAGGGAAUGGGAGAGGUAGACGGUACUCGGUAGGAAGGGGUAAAAUCCUUUGAUCUAUCGAUGACCACCUGUGGCGAAGGCGGUCUACCAGAACAUGUUCGACGGUGAGGGAUGAAAGCUGGGGGAGCAAACCGGAUUAGAUACCCGGGUAGUCCCAGCUGUAAACGAUGCAGACUAGAUGAUGCAUUAGCAUAUAGCUAGUGCAGUGUCUCAGGGAAGCCGUUAAGUCUGCCGCCUGGGAAGUACGUACGCAAGUAUGAAACUUAAAGGAAUUGGCGGGGGAGCAC